rnacentral:rRNA from 1 species
CAGUAGCCGCGGGAAUACGAAGGGGGCUAGCGUUGUUCGGAUUUACUGGGCGUAAAGCGCACGUAGGCGGACUUUUAAGUCAGGGGUGAAAUCCCGGGGCUCAACCCCGGAACUGCCUUUGAUACUGGAAGUCUUGAGUAUGGUAGAGGUGAGUGGAAUUCCGAGUGUAGAGGUGAAAUUCGUAGAUAUUCGGAGGAACACCGGUGGCGAAGGCGGCUCACUGGACCAUUACUGACGCUGAGGUGCGAAAGCGUGGGGAGCAAACAGGAUUAGAUACCCCGGUAGUCCCUGUCUCUUAUAC